rnacentral:rRNA from 1 species
GACGUAGGGCGCGAGCGUUGUCCGGAUUUAUUGGGCGUAAAGAGCUCGUAGGCGGCUUGUUGCGUCGACUGUGAAAACCCGCGGCUUAACUGCGGGCUUGCAGUUGAUACGGGCAGGCUAGAGUUCGGUAGGGGAGACUGGAAUUCCUGGUGUAGCGGUGAAAUGCACAGAUAUCAGGAGGAACACCGGUGGCGAAGGCGGGUCUCUGGGCCGAUACUGACGCUGAGGAGCGAAAGCGUGGGUAGCAAACAGG